GGAUAGUUCAGUUUGUUAGAGCGUGUUGCUGAUAACGCCAAGGUUGCAGGUUCGAUCCCUGUAUGGGGCAGCUACA
rnacentral:tRNA from 1 species